CGGGUGAGUAACGCGUAAAGAACUUGCCUCACGGUUAGGGACAACAUUUGGAAACGAAUGCUAAUACCUGAUAUUAUGAUUUUAGGGCAUCCUAAGAUUAUGAAAGCUAUAUGUGCUGUGAGAGAGCUUUGCGUCCCAUUAGCUAGUUGGAGAGGUAACGGCUCACCAAGGCGAUGAUGGGUAGCCGGCCUGAGAGGGUGAACGGCCACAAGGGGACUGAGACACGGCCCAG
rnacentral:rRNA from 1 species